UGACUAGAUCCACACUCAUCC
rnacentral:miRNA from 5 species